CUCUGAGUCACAACAGCUAUUCCUUGUUAUCUGCAGUUGAAGAAUACAUAGAGCCAUCACGUUUCAGCGCGAGUAUAUGGAUUAUGAAAAUCAGUAUAAGCACAGGAAUCCUGGUAAAAUGCAGCAAAGGAUUUAAGGUUAUCAUCUGUCUCUCCCUAACUUCUGACAUCUCUUUAUAACAAGAAAGAGUCACAGCCAACUGUAACAGGAGGGCAACACAAUGAAUCCCGGUGCUGAAGAAGCUGUGGAUCCCUCAGUUAUGCUCAGUUAUGCCUGGUUUAUCACUAAUGAAGGUAAUGGGUGGAGUAGCAGACAUCGGUGAAGCAGCUACAAGGCAAUGUUGGCAAAGCAAGGCUUUGAGCUCCCCUGCUCUGUACCCAUUUGUCACUCCUUUCAAAAAGAAGAUGGAAACUCUUGGUAUGGAUGCAAAACUCAGAAGAGGUCUGUGCCAAAUAAGAGCAAGAACACAGCUGCACAAGACUCAGCACACUUCUCAUAGACAAAAUGCAAUGAAGGAAAAGAAGGCACUUUAAGCUAAAUCAGAGAUCAUUAUAGAAUACUUUUCCCAUUCAGCUUGCUCUAGAAGAAAUAUGUACAUGCAGCAGCAGCACUUGGGGUAUGAAGAGCUUCUUUGAAAGCAGAAGCAGUUGCCAGUAUUUGAGGUGUGGAUGGUGAGUGAGAAAAUCAGCUGUUCCUGCAGAGGUGCCCCCAGCAACAGCAGCUUCUGAGAAAUCCUGCUUUUGUGUCCUCAAUGAGAACACAGCCUGGAAUGACUGAGAGCAAGCUCUGUUUGCAGGAAGCAUUUCGGACCAACAUCCAUUGCCUGAGGAGGUUUCCAGAGGCCAAGCAGAGGCAAUCAGCUGUGUAAACAUUUCAAGGCACAGAAGGAGCCAUAAACACAGAGCAGCAAAUGGAGUUUGUGCAGAUCCUUGCUGUACUGGUCUGUGAAGGCAUGCUGUUAUCUUUCAAACAGUGGUGCACGGGGCGUUAGGCAGUGGUUGGGUCCUUCACUCUUGGUGUCUUACUGUGCUUGUUUUACCUUCCAACUCUUCAUCUUAACACCUCCAGUCUAUUUCAGAUACUAUACCCAAAGUCUUCCUGUUGGCAAAGGGGAACAUACUGCAUAUAUGGACCUAUUAAUUUAUUGUUAGUCUAAGGUUUUCAACAGUCUGAUAGUAAAAAUUACCAAAUCCAUACAGGAAGAUGUUAUAAAAUAGAAUUGAAAUUGUUAGACAAAAUUUCCCUGUUCUCUUGCGUUGUGCUUACUCCUCCAGUGUGCCUUUGGGUCUUAAGAUUGACAUCUUAGUAUUUCUCAAAAGGAAUGGGGGAGUAUGGUGAGUCAUCGCCAGGACAAGCAUGAUAUUCAGGGGUGGGGGGAUGGCUUUUUUUCCUCAGUCUGGUGUAUUCUUGAAUUUUAUUUGAUAUGAUUUCUUAACACUAGAAGCUCACUGUGAUUGAAAGACUGUGAUCUGCUUCCUCUGUGUUUGCAUUUCCAUGACUUAUUGUAGAGCCAUAGGCAAUUUAAUUCACAAGGAAAAGCCACUUGUUUUUACUAUAAACUAAAGUUAAAUUGAAACAAAUCGAGUUGCAUGUACCAGACAGCUACAUGCAGCCAAAAGAAUUUAAAAUCUACUUAGGCCAAGACAGAAUUGCCAAGGCCCUGUACCAUCACAUCAACAUAAAACACGUUUGGCCCUGCUUACCCACCAGGUGCUCAAUCACUAGUUCAAGCCCUGACUUAGCAUUUCUGCUAUAGAGAAUCAUAGAAUCAUAGAAUGGUCUGGGUUGAAAAGGACCAUAAUGAUCAUCCUAGUUUCAACCUCCCUGCUGUGUGCAAGGUCGCCAACCACCAGACCAUGCUGCCCAGAGCUACGUACAGCUUGACCUUGAAUGCCUUCAGGGACAGGGAGAGACCAUAGUGUAAUCUGUGAGGGUAUAGGAUAAUUAAAAUCAUACACUUCAAUCUAACAUAGAAACUUUACACACACGCACAGAGGAAUGUUUGUGAGGUAGUCCACAAUUUCUGGAAUUGGGAAUGCACACAAAUGCAGCUAGAUCCCACAUAUAUGAUUAUAGACUGCUUAGAAGCAGAAGGAGAAGUGCCAUGAUCAUAUAUAGUUAACUUUCAAGCUAAGCAGUCAUGUGAAGACUGGAAACUAAUAUCUUCACAUAUAUAUUGCAUAUUUCAACAUUUUUUUCCAGCAUUCUUCUGAAAGUCUCACUGGAAUAUUCCAUUUUCUGUGAUAGUCUGUGUUCACAGAUGCACAGUUUUAUUACAAGAAACACUCAUUUUAUAUAUCUCCAAAAUUAUGUGAUCACCUUCUUGGUACAAAAGGAACUGUUCCAGCAACUUGGUACACGAUUACAUAGCUUACAUAUCUGUAGUGUUUGCAGCAUGUGCUAAGUUCAGGAUGUUUCAAAAGAUUUCCAAUACAGUAGUACACAAGUUUAUUUAAGAACUCUGAUUUUUCCAUCACAAAAAAUGUUUGUACCUUGUUGAACCGUCUUUGCUUUUAUGUUCUUUAAACACGUGCCCUUGUGCACCUCUGAGAAAAAUUUGGCUCUAAUUUCUCUAUAGCUUCCCAUGAUGUAUUUUUAGGCAGCAAUAAAUCCCUGCCAUCCCCUCAGCCUUUUCAGGGCUGAGGAAUCGCAGCUCCCUCGGCCUCUCCUGGCACGCUGCCUAGCGCCUGGCCUGCUCUGCUCUAGCGCCGUAUGGCAGUGUCUGCCUUGUACUGUAGGAGAUACCAUAAUUAAAUUCGUAAUUUUCAUUUAUGGCUUCUACUUUCGUUCACAUGCUUCUUGACAGUGGAAUGCUUUUAACUUGUUCUGCAGCUGUACCCUCUUCUCAAGCGUUAUGCUGUGCCAGUUCAGUUGGACGUGCUCCUGUUUCAGCUUUAAGUUUCCCUUCUGCAAACUCCAGAUUUCUGCUAGCACUGCCUUUUCUACAUUUUCUUCUCUUGCUGUUAACCAGCACAUUAUAGGCUAGGCAAGAGAAGAAUUUAGACUUUGUUUUCUUUUAAUUUUAGAAAAGGUUGCUUUGCUGCCUGAAUAGUUUUGCAAGAAGCUGGAUCCAAGGAUAUGCUCAUCACUGGAUUUAGACCAGACAAGUUUAGAAAGAAGAACAUUUCCAAAGACGAUUUAAGAUAAGAAGAGCAGCAGAGCUCAUCUGAGUUUGCACAUGUCUGGCAGCAUUUGGCUCUGCAGAGUGCGGACACAGAGGGUGUCUGAGUUUCCCCUGCAGUCAGUGAGAACAGGGGAUAGUCAUAUUUGGCAGAAAGUAUUCUCCCUUUUGCAGGAUUUGACUCUUGAAGAACCCCACACUAUAAUGAAAAACUCUUCCUCACAUCUCCCCAGUUCCAAUUCAGGAGCUUAAAAUGAUUGCAUUACCAUUAGAAUCAUUACAAAGAAAUCAGUCUAAAAAUCACUCUAGCAAAGGCAGUGGAGCUGCAACUGCAGGUGUCAUGGAAUUUAGUGUGAAAGAUGGUGUUUCCAAAUUUGUUUCUGAAAUAUUUGAAAAGACUGUGUAAAGAGGGGAAACAAGCAAACUAGCAGGCAGUGUUUUUUCCCUCUGUGGUUUUUGUGGACUAAGAAUAGAGAGAACACGUAGCAAGCAUCUUGCUAUUAAAUUUGCCCAUGACAAAUAGUGCAGCUGCACAUAGUGUGCAAGAACAUCUGUAGACUCAUGACACAUGCAAAAUUCCCCACACUAAGAACGUGACAUUAUGCUGAAAACAAUUCAGUUGUAAAAGCAAUAUAAAUCCAUUUUACGUAGACUUUCUCCACCUUUCCUCCCCUUCUCUUUUGAAUUGUGUUAACUGAAGAAUUCUGUCUCUCCUACAUGACAUUAGUAAAAAUCACAAUGUAAAAGUGAGUAAACAUUUCAGAAUUGUCCCUUUUUUCAUUAGCGGCUGGAAGGCAGGUAUGCCUUUCCUGGAGGAAAAGAAAGUUUAAGAAAGAAUAACCAGCAGCAGAAAUGCAUUAGACACAAAAUCCUACUCCAAGUGGAUCUUGUCAGGGUUUGGCAGCUGCAAUUUAACUCUUCAGAAAUCAAGAGGUGAUUUCCUGUGUCUCUUGUGCAGUCGUUCAGUCCUAAGUGAGCAGUGGGAUUGCUACCAGCCUUUACUUCGCUGAUAUAGAUGCUUGCACAAAAUGCAGCAAUAGGGAACAAUAUGUCUAAAAUGUGUAGGUUUCUAAGAUAAAGGGAAAUUCCCUAGCUGGGAUUUAUUUGAGUUCCCAUAGUUUCUCUGACAAAAUAAUGCAGUUAUUGUGGAAUUCUCUAGAAGUUCAUCUAAGCUCCACACUGCCAUAAUGAAUCAUAGAAUGGCUUAGUUGGAAGGGACCUUAGAGAUCAUCUAGUUCCAAACCCCUCCUUCUCUAAUACUUUCUUUGCAAUCUUUAGACUUACUAAAGUAAAAAAAUCUUAAAAUGGCAACACAAACACUAAUUUUUGUUGCGAGUCUGAGGUUAUUUAAAGGCUUUGUGAUGGUAAUGUCAUGAGAAGGCAGACCUAGGCAUGCUAUUAAUAUGUGGAUCAUAAUUAACUUGUUUCUUUGGAAACAUCUCACUUACUCACUCUGACAUUCAGUCAGAACAGUUCAUAGUAACUACCUGAACCUCCAAGAACAUUUCCCUAUUCUUUAUAUAGGGUGCAGAAUGAGACUGAAGCUGGAGGUGUCAUCCAGCUGGGUCCUAAUUUUCAGCUCUCUGCCCAUUAAAUUCCUGCAACCUAACUGCAAAACCAUAAGAGCAAUGUAAUGAUGUUAUUGAUAGCAUACAUUUUGAGCAUACUGACUUUCUGCAUUCUUUCGUUAAGUCCUUAGAAUUCAGUUUCCUUUCCUAAGUGAAGAAAGCCUUGUUUUUCAAUUUCGGAGAGAUAUAGAGCACAAAUGAGAAUGUUUUUAAAGCACUCUGAAAAUGGAAAAAGUGUGCAAGUACCACUGAUGUCACCUGACAACAUUUGUUUACUGUUAGGGGUAUAUUAAUAUCUUAGUUUAAUUAGAUUUGAUUCCUUAUUCAAUAACACAAUGAUUUCUAAAAUUCGCUUCCUGGUUUGAUGUUCAGCGACUGUUUACACAAGAUACGUGAUGAUGUACAUCACCAUAGCAGGAAGGAACAUCCUGAGAAGCAGGAGUUGGGAAAUGCCCCUUUUUUAACCUGUCUUAUGUCCCCACCUCUCAUGCAGAGAAGUACACGUUCAGUGGUGAGUUGUGGCUGCAGUCAGUUGUGGCCUCUCCAUGCUGGCAAUGACUGCCUGUUGUCCACACUGUGCGCUUGAACGUCACUGCUGUAAUCCUUCUUUUGUCACUGCCUGUGCAUUAGUUGCUCUCUGAGGUACACAGCACAGCAGUUGCAGGCAGCUCAAUAUAGUAAUGGGCUCUGGCGAAUAAUGAAAGUAGCAAUAAGGUUUUUAAAAAAUUAGCACUGU